rnacentral:ncRNA from 2 species
UCAAACCGUCGCGACUGGCGUCUGGGUGGGUCACCACCGGGGAGCGACUGUUACGGAAUUCGACCGCGCGCCUGGGCCGAUGAC